GAAAGCAUAGCUUAGUUGGUAGAGCGUGGUACUUUUAAUGCUAAGGUCGUCAGUUCGAAUCUGACUGUUUUCU
rnacentral:tRNA from 1 species